rnacentral:lncRNA from 1 species
CUUUAGUAUAGGAAAAUGUACACAUAUGAUCUUCAAUAUCUUAAAUUAGGCCCCACAACUUCAGGUAGGCAGGCGGAAAACUUCAACCCUCUGAAUUGAAGAGCCACAAUUCAGGAGGGCCAGUUAAUGGCUCGCAAGAGUUGAAGCCUGAUGAUGAUUUGGUCCCCUCUAAUUUACUGGGUAGUUGCCCUUCUGUCAUUGUUAUUAUGGGUGGGGUUGAGGUCCCUUGUCUCUUAGAUACAGGGUCCAUGGUAACUACUGUCUCAGAGAGCUUUUUCCUACAACACUUUGAGCCUUGGGGUAGAGAGAAGCUUCAUGGUUGUGGGUGGUUGCAGCUGCGUGCUGCAAAUGGUCUAGAAAUUCCAUAUGUCGGCUAUUUGGAACUGGAUUUUGUAGUUUUGUGUAGGCAGAUUCGUCAUAAGGGUGUCCUUAUUGUAAAGGACCCCCCUGGGUCACCUUCAUUGCAGACACUUCCAGGGUUACUGGGAAUGAAUAUCAUUCGUGAGUGUUAUGAUGAAUUGUUUAAUCAGCAUGGCUCAGAGUUGUUUGCUCUCCCAGCAGUGAAGGCCGUGCCUGCUUGGAAAAUGGCUCUCCAGAAUUGUCAACACGCAGAGAUUAUGAGUUUACCGGAUGGGGAAAGAUCAGUUCGGGUCAGGGGCCCAUAUCUAGUUCGUAUUCCUGCUAAUACUUUGCAAUUUGUUGCUGCUACCUGUACUCCAAAUAUUGGUACUCAUUCCAUGUUUUUGUUUGAGCCUUUAGGGACAGCAGAUGAAAAGCAGCUUCCAGCAGGGCUUUUGGCAUCUGUAGCACUUGUUUCUGUUACCCGUGGGGUUGUCCAUGUGCCCAUAGUAAAUAUUGGUGCACAGGAUGUGUUUUUACAGCCCCGAACAGUAAUGGGGACAGUAAGUCAGGUUCAGCCUGGGUCUUGGCCAGGAGGGGUGGAGGUCAUAUGUCCAGGGGAACCUUUAAGGCAACAGGUAACAGACUCUUUACAGGUAAAUAUUGCCGGUCCCCUUAGCAAGGUCAUCCAAAAUUUGGAUUUGUCCCAGUUGUCACCUGACGAACAGAUACAGGUUAGGUCUCUAUUGCAGCAAUACCAGUCUGUAUUUUCUGCUCAUGAUGGUGAUUUGGGCUGCACCAAUCUAAUCACUCAUGAAAUCCCUCUGGUGGAUGAUGAGCCAAUACGUCAGAGAUAUCGAAGGAUUCCUCCUUCGGACUAUGAG